CAUGGCUCAAAACGAACGCUGGCGGCAUGCCUAACCCUUUCAAGUCGAACGAGGCCCCUCGGGGUUUAGGGGCGCACGGGUGCGUAACGCGGGGGAAUCUGCCCUUUGGUUCGAAUUAACAGCUGGAAACGGCUGCUAAUACCGGAUGAUGACAAAAGUCCAAAGAUUUAUCGCCAGAGGAUGAGCCCGCGUUGGAUUAGGUAGUUGGGGGGGUAAAGGCCUACCAAGCCAACAAUCCAUAGCUGGUCUGAGAGGAUGAUCAGCCACACUGGGACUGAAACACGGCCCAAACUCCUACGGGAGGCAGCAGUGGGGAAUAUUGGACAAUGGGCGCAAGCCUGAUCCAGCAUUGCCGCGUGAGUGAUGAAGGCCCUAGGGUUGUAAAGCUCUUUUACCCGGGAAGAUAAUGACUGUACCGGGAGAAUAAGCCCCGGCUAACUCCGUG
rnacentral:rRNA from 1 species